UUUCACACCUUCCAGUGUUUCAACAGCUGGAUUUCCAGUUACUGAAGGUAUACAGAGGUCUGUUCUAAGCUGUUCUGUCUCAGUUUUUAGCACGGGCAAACUGGUUCUGAUUGGGUGUCAUGGUGAAAAAUUCAGUUGAAGGGUUAAACAAACCUGGCUCAUGAUGAUUCCCAAACAAGUUUUGUUGUUAUGGAAGGACAGCAGGGCCAGGGAGCUCCUGGAGCGGGGCCAGCGGAGGCUGCGCAGCUGAGGAAGGGCCUGGAGCAUCUCAGUGGCCAGGAAAGGCUGCGGGAGCUGGGGCUGCUCAGCCUGGAGAGGAGCCCCAGCUGAGAGGGGCCCUCAGGCCUGGCUGGCCCUGGCUGCAGGGAGGGGCAGAGCAGGGCCCGGGCUCUGCUCCGGGGCCCAGCAAUGGCACCAGAGCCACGGGCAGGGCCUGAGCCCAGCAAUUCCCCUGCCCAGGAGGCAGAGCUUCUGCCCUGGGCACUGCCCAGCCCUGAGCAGAUUGUCCAGAGAGCCUGGGGAGUCUCCUCCCUGGGGAUAUUCCAGAGCCCUCUGGACACAGUCCUGGGCCCUGGGCUCUGGGAUGGCCCUGCUGGAGCGGGGAGGUGGCACCACAUGAGCCACUCUGGGCCCUUCCAGCCUGACCCAUCCUGGCACUCUGUAAUAGUGUGUUUGGAAUUGUCUAACAAAAAGACUUUAGGACUGUUUUAAUAGCUGGUUUCAGUGAUCAGAAAGAGCUGUGGGCUUGUUUCACAGAAUCACAGAAUGAUUUGGGCUGGAAGUGACCUUAAAAUUCAUCUUGGUCCAACUGUAUGGAAGGAAGGUUUGAUGGCCAUAUGGGCCAUUCCCUGCCUGAAGAGUUGGACUCGGUGAUCAUUGUGGGUCCCUUCCAACGCAGAAUAUUCCAUGAUUCUGAGAUUAAUUUGCUGAUUGUUACUGUCUCUAUUCAUGCCAGGAGCAAACCAAGUCACUGCUCUAGUUGUAUGAAACAAUACUUCUUCCUUUUGAUAGAACUGUUUCCAGCCAAAGAAAAUAACUUCUGUAAUUUAUAUUUAUUGAUCCUGGAUAGUUUUGGAAUUACAGAAUACCCCCAUUGAAGAGCAAACAAGGAGAUUUCAGUCUGGAAGUGGAGAAACACGGCUCAGGCAGAAACCAGGAGAGGAGUCCUAAAAACACCAGAGCCCUGAUGAACACAACUUCCCUGGGGUACAUCUCCCAGAGUAGAUAUAAAUUCCUCUUUGGAAAUUUCUAAUAGCUGAUUUUGGAAGUGAUUGAUGGUAAAAAAGUUUGAAUAACAUGAUCUUUAGGAAAUGUCACAGGGCAAGUUCAGAAAUCUGAAAAGUGAUAAAGAAGUUAAUACUUUUAAGUGGGAAAUAUGACCUACCUUAGAGCUACAGAGAAGCCUGUCAUGUGAAACUGUGUUUUUAUGUGUUCCAAAGCCACCUUCCUUUAUAUGACAAGUUUAGAAACUGUUUCAUUUUCUGGAGGGGAAAAAAACCCCUGGACAAUUUCUAAAUGAACUGGUGAGACAUGAUUGCAAAUGAGCUUGGAUAUCCUACAGAGAUGUGAGUCUGGUUCAUAGGGAUGCCAUGUCAGCAGGAGCUGGAAAAUCCAAUCAUACAUCAUUAAGGGAAGAGAAGCGAUGCCUUCUCCAAUUUGUUUAUAGGAAAAUGUGCCAGACUCUGACCAUCUCAGUCCCUCAGCACACAAAAAAAAUCAUGGAACAGAAGAGGAACAAAGAUAGGCCUCAAUCACAUCCAGAUUUGACAACUCUAGGGUAAGAGCUGAGUUCUUGGCUAUUCCAAGCUGAGUUUGAAGAAAAUUAACAGGGUCCCAUGGCAAUCUGAUUCUUCUCACACAGUGCCUACUAAAAAUUACCUUGAACCUCUCUCACGUUCUCAAACCAAAAGAGCUUUAUAAUUUCUUAAUAAUAAAAUUAAAUUCAGCCACGUGCAAGGUUUCCCAUAACCUUAAUAAAAGCCAUACACAGCCAGAUGGUGUUGAUAAUAAAAAUCAGUGUCACUCAUGGAGGUAUAUGGGGGAUGCACCAGAGGGAAACAGAACUAGGGCAAAAAUCUUAUGCAGGGAGAUAUAAAUUCUGUUAUUCCACCUUCACCUCCUUUCACACCUUAGGGGUUGUCCUUCCAAGCCUUUCCUCUCACUUCCAAGCUACUAUUGUAUUUGAAUAGGGGAAAAAUAAAAUAAUACAUUAAAAGAAAGUUCAUGUGAAAGGCAGGUUGUUUUGACAUUUUGACUUUUAAUGGGAAAAAGUUUGGGGAAAAGUUUGCAUUCAGAAUUUCUACUGAACAGGAAUUUUUUGUUAUCAGAUCUUCAGACAAUUAGAGGGUUUCUGUUGUAAUAAAUUUUGCUGAUGUGAUAGUGAGCAAGGCAGAUGCUGAAGUUGCAGAAUUAAAAUGCAACAUUUUUGUUUCAUUUUAAAUUGAUUGAUAUUUUUUUUCCUGCACAGGAUCACAGAAUAUCCUGAGUUGGAAGGGACCCACAGGAUCAUCUAGUUCAACCCCUGGUCUUGCACAGACACCACAAAAUUCAACAAUCCCACCCUGUGCACCCCUGGGAGCAUUGUCCAAACACUCCUGGAGCU